AAAUUGAAGAGUUUGAUCAUGGCUCAGAUUGAACGCUGGCGGCAGGCCUAACACAUGCAAGUCGAACGGUAACAGAAAGCAGCUUGCUGCUUUGCUGACGAGUGGCGGACGGGUGAGUAAUGUCUGGGAAACUGCCUGAUGGAGGGGGAUAACUACUGGAAACGGUAGCUAAUACCGCAUAAUGUCGCAAGACCAAAGAGGGGGACCUUCGGGCCUCUUGCCAUCGGAUGUGCCCAGAUGGGAUUAGCUAGUAGGUGGGGUAACGGCUCACCUAGGCGACGAUCCCUAGCUGGUCUGAGAGGAUGACCAGCCACACUGGAACUGAGACACGGUCCAGACUCCUACGGGAGGCAGCAGUGGGGAAUAUUGCACAAUGGGCGCAAGCCUGAUGCAGCCAUGCCGCGUGUAUGAAGAAGGCCUUCGGGUUGUAAAGUACUUUCAGCGGGGAGGAAGGGAGUAAAGUUAAUACCUUUGCUCAUUGACGUUACCCGCAGAAGAAGCACCGGCUAACUCCGUGCCAGCAGCCGCGGUAAUACGGAGGGUGCAAGCGUUAAUCGGAAUUACUGGGCGUAAAGCGCACGCAGGCGGUUUGUUAAGUCAGAUGUGAAAUCCCCGGGCUCAACCUGGGAACUGCAUCUGAUACUGGCAAGCUUGAGUCUCGUAGAGGGGGGUAGAAUUCCAGGUGUAGCGGUGAAAUGCGUAGAGAUCUGGAGGAAUACCGGUGGCGAAGGCGGCCCCCUGGACGAAGACUGACGCUCAGGUGCGAAAGCGUGGGGAGCAAACAGGAUUAGAUACCCUGGUAGUCCACGCCGUAAACGAUGUCGACUUGGAGGUUGUGCCCUUGAGGCGUGGCUUCCGGAGCUAACGCGUUAAGUCGACCGCCUGGGGAGUACGGCCGCAAGGUUAAAACUCAAAUGAAUUGACGGGGGCCCGCACAAGCGGUGGAGCAUGUGGUUUAAUUCGAUGCAACGCGAAGAACCUUACCUGGUCUUGACAUCCACGGAAGUUUUCAGAGAUGAGAAUGUGCCUUCGGGAACCGUGAGACAGGUGCUGCAUGGCUGUCGUCAGCUCGUGUUGUGAAAUGUUGGGUUAAGUCCCGCAACGAGCGCAACCCUUAUCCUUUGUUGCCAGCGGUCCGGCCGGGAACUCAAAGGAGACUGCCAGUGAUAAACUGGAGGAAGGUGGGGAUGACGUCAAGUCAUCAUGGCCCUUACGACCAGGGCUACACACGUGCUACAAUGGCGCAUACAAAGAGAAGCGACCUCGCGAGAGCAAGCGGACCUCAUAAAGUGCGUCGUAGUCCGGAUUGGAGUCUGCAACUCGACUCCAUGAAGUCGGAAUCGCUAGUAAUCGUGGAUCAGAAUGCCACGGUGAAUACGUUCCCGGGCCUUGUACACACCGCCCGUCACACCAUGGGAGUGGGUUGCAAAAGAAGUAGGUAGCUUAACCUUCGGGAGGGCGCUUACCACUUUGUGAUUCAUGACUGGGGUGAAGUCGUAACAAGGUAACCGUAGGGGAACCUGCGGUUGGAUCACCUCCUUACCUUAAAGAA
rnacentral:rRNA from 1 species